AACGAACGUUAGCGGCGCGCCUAACACAUGCAAGUCGCACGAGAAAGGGCUUCGGCCCCGGUAAAGUGGCGCACGGGUGAGUAACACGUGGGUAACCUUCCCUCGAGCGGGGGAUAACCUUCCGAAAGGAGGGCUAAUACCGCAUAAGACCACGGGGUGUGAAUCCCUGAGGUCAAAGCUGGCCUCUAUACAUAAGCUAGCACUUGAGGAUGGGCCCGCGGCGCAUCAGCUUGUUGGUGGGGUAACGGCCUACCAAGGCGAAGACGCGUAGCUGGUCUGAGAGGAUGAUCAGCCAAGCUGGAACUGAGACACGGUCCAGACUCCUACGGGAGGCAGCAGUGGGGAAUCUUGCGCAAUGGACGAAAGUCUGACGCAGCGACGCCGCGUGGGUGAUGAAGGCCUUCGGGUUGUAAAGCCCUGUGGGGAGAGAAGAAUUAGUGCGGGCUAAUACUCCGCAUGAUGACGGUAUCUCCUUAGCAAGCACCGGCUAACUCUGUGCCAGCCGCCGCCGUAAGAC
rnacentral:rRNA from 1 species